GCCGAAGUGGCGGAACUGGCAGACGCGCGCGACUCAAAAUCGCGUUCCUUCGGGAGUGUGGGUUCGAGUCCCACCUUCGGCACCA
rnacentral:tRNA from 1 species